GGGCCUGUCGUUCAAUGGUAGGACAUCUGGCUGGCAGUCAGAGGACUGGAGUUCGAUUCUCCAUAGGUCCA
rfam:Microgenomates (Levybacteria) bacterium GW2011_GWB1_35_5 TR81_C0018, whole genome shotgun sequence.